rnacentral:lncRNA from 1 species
UAUAUAUAUAUAUAUAUAAUUUGUGUGUUUUGAGGUGAAACAUGGCGUUGACAUUUCUAAAAUGAUAAAAAAUGACACUGAUUUCACACUCUGGUCCUCGAGCACAGAUUCACAUUACUAAAUGAUUUCUCUGAAAUGAACUGAAAUUGUGUCACUUUCAGACACGGCGCUGGCCUUGAAUCCCUGAAGCGAUAAUGUGAGUUUAUUUGGGGCAUAAAUUUGGGAGAGAGCAGUAUUUUUCACAGGUACCGCUCUAGUUCUAUAGGGCGGCUGCUUUAAACGCAGCUUUUAAGGUAUUCUGGGAAGCUCUUGGGCUGUUCAGAUCGAUGUUUCAUGAAUUAUUUGAAGUGAUUCUAGUCUAAACCACUGGAGGAGCCCAAAAGCCCUGCUAUAAAGCGUAUAGCUGUGGUUCAGCGCAUUGCAUUAUGGGUAAUAAUAUGAAGGGAGGAUCUUUUAGAUUUUCAGAAAAUAAAUCAACAUCAAAUAUUUAUUUAAACAGCUAUUUUUAAUCCAAUUUACCCUGUUUGAAUGAGAUUUUAACCAGUGAAAUCCUCGGGACGAUGGUUUAUAUGUGAUCCGGCUCUCAUUUUGACUUCUUUUUUUCCCAACUGAUCCAUGAAAACCAAACCAUUUUAACUCUGUGUAUGAACUGAAUCCUGUACAUGGUGUGAAUACUCUCCUCUCUCUUCAGAUUAAUCAGAUGAUUUUAGUAUAAAGUAGAAGCGGCCUCUUUCAUGGUCGUUUCCGAGUUUAUUUACUAGCGUUGAUUUGUAUGUAUAGUCAAAUGUGAAAAGAUGUUCAGCAGCUGAAUAAAUAACUCUAUGGGAAAAUGUCUGGUGUUUUUGAGACCUGGAUGCUGUUUGUAAUGCAAAAUAUUUAGCAUUCGCAUUAAAUCCUCAUGGAUGAGGUACAAUCAAACUAAACUGAACAAAUGCAGGGGUUUCCAGACAUUUUAUUGCAAAAGUUGAACUGCUUUUAACAUCUUAAAAACAACGCUUCUGGCAUAAAACCUCACAAAGCGUUGCAUUUUAAUGGACAAAAAAAACAUUUAAAAAAACUGG